rnacentral:lncRNA from 1 species
AUUAUCUAGGAAAAGUAAUUUUUAGCUUUGUCAUUUAAUAGGGAAGGUAAUUCUGCAACACAAACUUUACCCCCAAGUUUCAAAUUCCUUUGUCUAUAAAUAGCAAAGGAUUGGUGCAUCAAAAAUACAAUACUAUUUCCUUUCAUUUUUUAUCCUUUCUCUUUUCUUCAACACAAGAGAACCCAUCUUCAUUUCCUUUUUGUUAUUGACUUCUGUUUUACAUUGAAUUCUUGAGGAUUGAUUUCUUGAACCUGAAAAGAAAAAACUCAUUUGAUUAGAUCUCAUCCAUAAUCAAUAUUUAAGUGAGGCAUGAAUAUAUGAACAAAAAUUGAGGCCAUGAACUAUUUCUAUAUGCAAUUUAUUAGUUACUUUGUUUGCAACUUACAUUUUAUUAUUGAUUGGUCUUUUUUAUAGGUGACACUCACUUCUAUCAAGGAUCUUGUGUCUGUGUUUCAAAGGUAAAUAUAUGUUUUUCGAAGAUCUCAUUUCUUUCAUGAAUUGUC